CGUGUAGGCGGAUGGGAACGUCGGUUGUUGAAAGCCCCCGGCUCAACCGGGGAACUGGCGCCGAAACGUCCUGUCUAGAGGAGCGUAGGGGGACCUGGAACUUCCGGUGGAGCGGUGAAAUGCGUUGAGAUCGGAAGGAACGCCCGUGGCGAAAGCGAGGUCCUGGACGUUAUCUGACGCUGAGACGCGAAAGCUAGGGGAGCGAACGGGAUUAGAUACCCCGGUAGUCCUAGCUGUAAACGAUGGGCACUGGGUAGGGGGCUCGCCGAUGGGCUCUCUGCCGUAGGGAAACCGUGAAGUGCCCCGCCUGGGGAGUAUGGUCGCAAGGCUGAA
rnacentral:rRNA from 1 species